rnacentral:rRNA from 1 species
AACGCGAAGAACCUUACCAAGGCUUGACAUACACCGGAAACUGGUAGAGAUAUCAGCCCCCUUGUGGUCGGUGUACAGGUGGUGCAUGGUUGUCGUCAGCUCGUGUCGUGAGAUGUUGGGUUAAGUCCCGCAACGAGCGCAACCCUUGUUCUGUGUUGCCAGCGAGUAAUGUCGGGGACUCACAGGAGACUGCCGGGGUCAACUCGGAGGAAGGUGGGGACGACGUCAAAUCAUCAUGCCCCUUAUGUCUUGGGCUGCACACGUGCUACAAUGGCCGGUACAAAGGGCUGCGAUGCCGCGAGGCGGAGCGAAUCCCAAAAAGCCGGUCUCAGUUCGGAUUGGGGUCUGCAACUCGACCCCAUGAAGUUGGAGUUGCUAGUAAUCGCAGAUCAGCAUGCUGCGGUGAAUACGUUCCCGGGC